GACGAACGCUGGCGGCGUGCCUAAUACAUGCAAGUAGAACGCAGUUGCGAACGGGUGAGUAACGCGUAGGUAACUGCCUCAUAGCGGGGGAUAACUAUUGGAAACGAUAGCUAAUACCGCAUACUGUGAGAUGGACCUGCGUUGUAUUAGCUAGUUGGUGAGGUAAAGGCUCACCAAGGGGACGAUACAUAACCGAACUGAGAGGGUGAUCGGCCAAACUGGGAUAUAGACACCGCCCAGACACCUCAGGUAAGGAGCAGUAGGGACUCGUCGGCAAUGGACGGAAGUCUGACCAAGCAAAGCAGCGUGAGUGAAGGAGGUUUUCGGAGCGUAAGGCUCUGUUGUGAGAGCAGCAGUAACUAACCAGAAAGUGACAGCUAACUACGUGCCAGCAGCCGCGGUAAUAC
rnacentral:rRNA from 1 species